rnacentral:tRNA from 1 species
GGGGGGGUAGCUCAGCGGACAGAGCGUCAGCGAAUUUGCAUUUGGUCUUUCUCCUAAGCGAAACGUACCUAAAAUGCCGGUUCCUAAGGUCCUGGGUUCGAAUCCUAGUCCUCCUA